rnacentral:rRNA from 1 species
UACGUAGGGGGCAAGCGUUGUCCGGAUUUAUUGGGCGUAAAGAGCGUGUAGGCGGCCAAGCAGGUCCGCUGUGAAAACUCGAGGCUCAACCUCGAGACGUCGGUGGAAACCGUUUGGCUAGAGUCCGGAAGAGGAGAGUGGAAUUCCUGGUGUAGCGGUGAAAUGCGCAGAUAUCAGGAAGAACACCAAUGGCGAAGGCAGCUCUCUGGGACGGUACUGACGCUGAGACGCGGAAGCGUGGGGAGCGAACAGG